UACAGAGGGUGCGAGCGUUAAUCGGAAUUACUGGGCGUAAAGCGUGCGUAGACGGUUUCGUAAGUCGGGUGUGAAAUCCCCGGGCUCAACCUGGGAAUUGCAUUCGAAACUGCGAGGCUAGGGUACGGAAGAGGGAAGCGGAAUUUCUGGUGUAGCGGUGAAAUGCGUAGAUAUCAGAAGGAACAUCAGUGGCGAAAGCGGCUUCCUGGACCAACACUGACACUGAUGAGCGAAAGCCAGGGGAGCAAACGGG
rnacentral:rRNA from 1 species